GAUGAACGCUGGCGGCGUGCCUAAUACAUGCAAGUCGAGCGAACAGAUGAGGAGCUUGCUCCUCUGACGUUAGCGGCGGACGGGUGAGUAACACGUGGAUAACCUACCUAUAAGACUGGGAUAACUUCGGGAAACCGGAGCUAAUACCGGAUAAUAUAUUGAACCGCAUGGUUCAAUAGUGAAAGACGGUUUUGCUGUCACUUAUAGAUGGAUCCGCGCCGCAUUAGCUAGUUGGUAAGGUAACGGCUUACCAAGGCAACGAUGCGUAGCCGACCUGAGAGGGUGAUAGGCCACACUGGAACUGAGACACGGUCCAGACUCCUACGGGAGGAAGCAGUAGGGAAUCUUACGCAAUGGGCGAAAGCCUGACGGAGCAACGCCGCGUGAGUGAUGAAGGUCUUCGGAUCGUAAAACUCUGUUAUUAGGGAAGAACAAAUGUGUAAGUAACUAUGCACGUCUUGACGGUACCUAAUCAGAAAGCCACGGCUAACUACGUG
rnacentral:rRNA from 1 species